CACUGCUCCUCCCCUCCCCUUCUCUCCUCGGCUCUCUCUCCAUCUCCACCGCGCAGACGAGCGCAACCUAGCGGUAGCGCAGCGGUGGAGGCGGUGGCGGCGGCGGGAGGAAAGGCGACGUCCCAGCGGUGGCGCCCUCCGCAGAAGGGGAGGCGGGGGCGGCGGCGGCGCCUCCCCUCCGCCAGAUCUAGCCGGGAGCGGCGACCCGGCAGGAGGGGAGGCGGGCGGUGGCGGAGGGAAGGCGACGGCCCGGCGGCGGCGAACGGGAGCGGAAGCAAAAAUCUUGUGUUCAUGUGUGUUCCUGUGUUCAUCUUUUGUGUUCAUGUUGUGUUCUUGAAGUGAAAGUAAAAUUGCUCGAUGCAUCGGCUCGAUGCGUAAUGGAUUUGUGCGAAUUUUAUUCCUUUUCUUUUUCUGGGAUUAUCGGUUGGUGUAGUUCUUAUAUUUGAAAGUGAUGAUUGCUUGAUUGGGCUUUUAAUCUAUCUUUGAUUUUGUGA